AUGAUUUUGCUUUGUUCUGACUUGGGGCCAACACCGGUAGGCACACGGGUGGUGUCACCGUCAUGCGCCGUGCGUGAGGCCCAGAAAGGUCUUAACACACUGGCCCUGGGUGUGGAAUAUGGCUCCGCGUAUUACGCCACCAAACAGCCCGUUUUUCUCCCCCUUGAUCCUGCAGCAAAAGAAGCGUGGCCUCUGCCCACCUGUCCGACCGUGAGGCCCACCGCGGGCUGUUCCAGUCCCGAGCCCGAGGGCAGGGAGCCCGUCCACAGGCGAAGAUGGAAGAGUGGUGGCAGGACAGGCGCCAACAGGCCACGGAACGGCAGGAGCGCCCUGCCGAGCAUGAGUUCUGUGAGCUGGCCGUGCGCCUCAACCAGCUGGAGGUGCACGGGCACCGCUGUGGAGGCCGGACGGGGCUCCGCCCAGACCACGGCCAGCCCGUCAGGCGCCAGGUGCUGGCCCAGCACAGAGAAGUAUGUGGGGGCGAACCGGCCCAGCGCAGGACAGUCUUCACGGGACUCGUCCAGGGAGACUGAGAGGCCGGGGGUGGAGCCCGGGAGCCGGCAGACUGGUGCAGAGGCGGCAGGGCCCUACAGACUGGGAGGCUUCACUUGAGCUCCUCCAGGACAAUCCCAACCGGUAGAGAUGCACCUGCACCCUUUCACGGGUGCACAGAGCACAGCCCGGGCUUGCUAGAGACAGAAAUAAGACUGGACAGGCAAGAUUCCCAAGCCAGUCCCCCCAUCAGCAGCGGUCAGAAGGGAACUAGCUGCAGCUCCCGACCUUUGCCGGCAUGCGGGCUCCCCGGACCCGGCGGGCUCCUUAUGAGGCGUGCUUG
rnacentral:lncRNA from 1 species